rnacentral:ncRNA from 1 species
CCCUGACAGUCGCAUGGGGCGACUGACUCAACCCAAGACAGGAGAUACACAUG